UUAAGUUCAGCGGGUAUCCCCACCUGAUCCGAGGCCAACCUUGUAAAAAUAGGUCGGGGCGGCCACCAUCAGACACUCCGAGCGAGGGAUUUCUCUUGCUACGCUCAGGGCCGGACGACGGCGCCCACGGGUUUCGGGCCCGUCCGCGAGGACGAGGCCCAUCACAGAGCAGGGCUCUAGGGUAGAAAUGGCGCUCGAAC
rnacentral:misc_RNA from 1 species